CUUCUGCCUCAGCCCCUGGAGUAGCUGGGACUACAGGCACGGCGCCACCAUGCCCAGGCCCCCAGAAUGCCCUUCUCCAAGACUUAGAAAAAUCAAAUGCUAUCCAUCCCUCAAGAUACAUCCCUCCAGCCCGUCCUUGAAGUCUCCUGCAGCUAGAAGUAGCAUCUAUCCCCAUCUGGACUCCUUAGCACUUUGCUGUACCUCCCUUGGUCCCCAUCUCUUUACACAUACACACACACACACACACACACACACACACACACACACACACACACACAGAGUAUUAUAAUACUAUUAGCUAUUAUAUUACAUUAUAUUAUUGUAGUUCUACAGGAACUACAAGAAAUUCUACUAUGAAUUCCUUGAGGGUGGGAUACAUUUUACAGUCAUCACUGUUUCUCUCAUUAUUUGUGGAAUCAAAAAAAUGAGUGCAUGAUGAAAAAUUAUACAAACACAUACAUGAUUUCAUUCCAAUUGAAAAUUAAAAAAUAUGACUGUUAAAACAAUGUUGAAGGACAUGUAAUAAAAUUCAAAUAUUCCUACCGUG